rnacentral:rRNA from 1 species
GGACUACCCGGGUAUCUAAUCCUGUUUGCUCCCCACGCUUUCGCGCCUCAGCGUCAAUGUCGGUCCAGAUAGCCGCCUUCGCCACCGGUGUUCUUCCCAAUAUCUACGAAUUUCACCUCUACACUGGGAAUUCCGCUAUCCUCUCCCGAAUUCAAGCAACCCAGUAUCAAAUGCAGUCCCCAGGUUAAGCCCAGGACUUUCACAUCUGACUUGGGUCGCCGCCUACGCGCCCUUUACGCCCAGUAAUUCCGAACAACGCUCGCCCCCUUCGUAUUACCGCGGCUGCUGGCAC